UGAACGCUGGCGGCGUGCCUAAUACAUGCAAGUCGAGCGAACGGACGCGAAGCUUGCUUCUCUGAUGUUAGCGGCGGACGGGUGAGUAACACGUGGAUAACCUACCUAUAAGACUGGGAUAACUUCGGGAAACCGGAGCUAAUACCGGAUAAUAUUUUGAACCGCAUGGUUCAAAAGUGAAAGACGGUCUUGCUGUCACUUAUAGAUGGAUCCGCGCUGCAUUAGCUAGUUGGUAAGGUAACGGCUUACCAAGGCAACGAUGCUUAGCCGACCUGAGAGGGUGAUCGGCCACACUGGAACUGAGACACGGUCCAGACUCCUACGGGAGGCAGCAGUAGGGAAUCUUCCGCAAUGGGCGAAAGCCUGACGGAGCAACGCCGCGUGAGUGAUGAAGGUCUUCGGAUCGUAAAACUCUGUUAUUAGGGAAGAACAUAUGUGUAAGUAACUGUGCACAUCUUGACGGUACCUAAUCAGAAAGCCACGGCUAACUACGUG
rnacentral:rRNA from 1 species